AGAAUUACCAGAAAGAGCUACAAUCACUUAUUGAUGAGUCAGGCCUCAAAUUGCACUUAGAUACAAAGGAGUAGCUUUUUCUUUUCUAGCUUUACUCGCUGAAGUCACUUUCACUUUCUUGAGAAGUGAUAUUUUUCAUCACAAUUCAUGAAAUUGCAUUCAGAAAGAGAAGAAAAUAGUAUAAUUUUCAUCACAAUCCAUGAAAUUGCAUUCAGAAAGACAAGAAAAUAGUAUACUUGAAUGCAUAGUUUGUACAUAGAAUAUUUCUAUUAUCCACCAUUGUAUGUGCGGUUUAAGUUACAAAUGUGUUGUAUU
rnacentral:lncRNA from 1 species